AAAUUGAAGAGUUUGAUCAUGGCUCAGAUUGAACGCUGGCGGCAGGCCUAACACAUGCAAGUCGAACGGUAGCACAGAGAGCUUGCUCUCGGGUGACGAGUGGCGGACGGGUGAGUAAUGUCUGGGAAACUGCCUGAUGGAGGGGGAUAACUACUGGAAACGGUGGCUAAUACCGCAUAACGUCGCAAGACCAAAGAGGGGGACCUUCGGGCCUCUUGCCAUCAGAUGUGCCCAGAUGGGAUUAGCUUGUUGGUGAGGUAACGGCUCACCAAGGCGACGAUCCCUAGCUGGUCUGAGAGGAUGACCAGCCACACUGGAACUGAGACACGGUCCAGACUCCUACGGGAGGCAGCAGUGGGGAAUAUUGCACAAUGGGCGCAAGCCUGAUGCAGCCAUGCCGCGUGUAUGAAGAAGGCCUUCGGGUUGUAAAGUACUUUCAGCGGGGAGGAAGGUGUUGUGGUUAAUAACCACAGCAAUUGACGUUACCCGCAGAAGAAGCACCGGCUAACUCCGUGCCAGCAGCCGCGGUAAUACGGAGGGUGCAAGCGUUAAUCGGAAUUACUGGGCGUAAAGCGCACGCAGGCGGUCUGUCAAGUCGGAUGUGAAAUCCCCGGGCUCAACCUGGGAACUGCAUUCGAAACUGGCAGGCUUGAGUCUUGUAGAGGGGGGUAGAAUUCCAGGUGUAGCGGUGAAAUGCGUAGAGAUCUGGAGGAAUACCGGUGGCGAAGGCGGCCCCCUGGACAAAGACUGACGCUCAGGUGCGAAAGCGUGGGGAGCAAACAGGAUUAGAUACCCUGGUAGUCCACGCCGUAAACGAUGUCUACUUGGAGGUUGUGCCCUUGAGGCGUGGCUUCCGGAGCUAACGCGUUAAGUAGACCGCCUGGGGAGUACGGCCGCAAGGUUAAAACUCAAAUGAAUUGACGGGGGCCCGCACAAGCGGUGGAGCAUGUGGUUUAAUUCGAUGCAACGCGAAGAACCUUACCUGGUCUUGACAUCCACAGAAGAAUCCAGAGAUGGAUUUGUGCCUUCGGGAACUGUGAGACAGGUGCUGCAUGGCUGUCGUCAGCUCGUGUUGUGAAAUGUUGGGUUAAGUCCCGCAACGAGCGCAACCCUUAUCCUUUGUUGCCAGCGGUCCGGCCGGGAACUCAAAGGAGACUGCCAGUGAUAAACUGGAGGAAGGUGGGGAUGACGUCAAGUCAUCAUGGCCCUUACGACCAGGGCUACACACGUGCUACAAUGGCGCAUACAAAGAGAAGCGACCUCGCGAGAGCAAGCGGACCUCAUAAAGUGCGUCGUAGUCCGGAUUGGAGUCUGCAACUCGACUCCAUGAAGUCGGAAUCGCUAGUAAUCGUGGAUCAGAAUGCCACGGUGAAUACGUUCCCGGGCCUUGUACACACCGCCCGUCACACCAUGGGAGUGGGUUGCAAAAGAAGUAGGUAGCUUAACCUUCGGGAGGGCGCUUACCACUUUGUGAUUCAUGACUGGGGUGAAGUCGUAACAAGGUAACCGUAGGGGAACCUGC
rnacentral:rRNA from 1 species